AACUCUCUGAUCUCGGCCCCGGGAAGGGUAAAGCCCAAAUCUUUAGUCUCUUAGUUCUGGCAAUCUCACUAACUUGCUUUUCUAUGCAGACAUGGCCAGAGGUGAGGCUGCAAAAGAAACUCGAAAGCGGAAGAGAGAGCUCGCCAAGAAGGUGAUGGAAAUGAAGAAGGCUGCUGCUGUUGCCGCUGCCGCUGCCACUGCUGAGGCUCAGAGACUGGCUCAGGUGGAAGUGCCGAGCUCCUCAGUCCGAACUCAAGAGCAACCGACUUCGGAGGUGCAGAUCCUCACUGCAGAGCCUCUCACUCAACCUGUCGAGUCUCCUUCCCAACCUCCGGUCUCUUCGGCUGCAGAGAGUGGAUUCUCA
rnacentral:misc_RNA from 1 species